rnacentral:rRNA from 1 species
UGGGGAAUAUUGCGCAAUGGGGGAAACCCUGACGCAGCGACGCCGCGUGAGUGAUGAAGGCUUUCGGGUCGUAAAACUCUGUUCUAGGGGACGAAGAGCCGUUGGAAUAAUACGCCGACGGAGUGACGGUACCUUAGGAGGAAGCCCCGGCUAACUACGUGCCAGCAGCCGCGGUAAGACGUAGGGGGCGAGCGUUGUCCGGAAUUACUGGGCGUAAAGAGCACGUAGGUGGACCAUUAAGUCAGGUGUGAAAGACCGGGGCUCAACUCCGGGGUUGCACUUGAAACUGGUGGUCUUGAGGGCAGGAGAGGAAAGUAGAAUUCCUGGUGUAGCGGUGAAAUGCGUAGAAAUCAGGAGGAAUACCAGUGGCGAAGGCGGCUUUCUGGACUGUCCCUGACACUGAGGUGCGAAAGCGUGGGGAGCAAACAGG